ACCCUCAAAUUAAUUUAUUUAUGAAAGAGAAAUAAUGUAACCCACGCUAAUUUCACUUUCACUUCAUUUAUUCUGAAAGAAGCGUCAGUCUUUGCACCGCCGAACCCACCGCCGCACCCACUGACGCACGCCCGUAGUCAUCGACACACCGGCGCACCGCCACACCCACCGAAGCACCACUGCACUACUGCACAGUUGCGUUACCACUGCACUAAAUAGUGAUGUAUUAGAGUAGUCAUGGCGUUUACCAUGUUUACAAGGAUGAGUAAGGAGGUGUGAGUUUUUUGAUGAAGCUUGAAAAUGUUUUUCCAACUCAGCCAAUUACUUUCUUUUUGUUAUUUCACAAUCAGCAUUCAUCAGGGGCCUUUGUCCAUGCUUCUGGAGUCGAGAAACCUCGUUAUCACUGCUUUGAUUUAGUGGAGAAGUCUUAUGAACAUAUGCAAGGUCACAUAUUUAUAGUGCGGGUUGAUUAAGUUUCUUCUGCUCAUAUAGGUUUUGAUACUUCGCUCUUGAAAUUUGACAAUUGGGAAUUAUCAGAACUUGAAGAUGCGCCAUUUCUGGAAAUAAAUUUAGGAAGUUCCCAAUCCAAAAAAGGGUUAUUUGAUGAGCUUGACCAGGCUGGUUAUUUUGGGGUUCUAUUGAAAAAGGGAGCGUCAACUCAUUAAUUUAGAGGGUGGAUGUUUACAUAAUCUGCUAUGUUGUACUACUCUAUGAUAUAAUUUACUAUUCUAUGAUAUCAUUUACUAUAGACAGGUACAUAAUUUUCUCUUUGUUUAUAUGCUAUUGAUAUAAAAUGGGUUAAGUUAUAACUA